AAGUUCAACAUUAUUGCAAAAAAAGAAUGAAAACAAAUUGAUUAUCCAAAUUGUUGCUGGUUAAUUAUCUGAUUAAGCAGUCAAUUACUUAGUCUAUUCAGCUUUAUGUGCCUUAUGUUGUGUCUGUGCUAAAUUAAAUGGUUCUUUUCUGGAAAUGUUUCUGUAAUAUAAAGUGUUACACAGUGUAUUUUGUUGUGGUUUUGUUUAUUUAUUUUUUAUUUUUUUGGAAGUGACAGAAUUUCAAGGACACAGAUAAAUUGAUGCCGAUUAAAGGACGAAUUCGACAAUUUAGGAAACACUCUAAUUUGCUUUCUGGCAGAGGUUUGAUUGCUGCUAUUCUCACAUCUGUCUGUGUAAUACAACCGGCUAGCUUAGCUUAGCAAAAAGCCUGGAAGUGGAGGAAAUAGCAAGUCUGGUUUGGUUCUGUCCUAUGGUAACAAUAUCCACUUACUGGCACCUCUAAAGCUCACUAAUUAAAAAGUAGGCCACUAUGUUUUUUUGUUUCCAUAGAAAUCCGUUCAAAAACAUUAGUGUUAAAUUAUCCGGGUGUCAUUUUACAGGGAUACCUGCAGGAAGCUAUGCUAUUUCUUGGCUCUGAGACUCCCGGAAACAGCUUCCAUGCUACCUGUUUCCAGGGUUUGUGCUAAGCUAACCUGUUGUUGCAUAAAGCCUUAGGCUAUAUUUGACAGACAGUUGUUACUCUCCACAGAAAGCAAAUAAGUGCAUUUCCCAAAAUGUUUAAAGUAUUCCUGUAAACUUUAAAGAAUUUUGUUUUUGUCUCUUUACUCCAUAUUAAUCUCAGUCAGUAGCCUACAAGCCUAGUUCUGCCGCGAGGUCAACACUUCCUCAGCGAAAACUGAAACUGUGAAAAUCAGUUUGAAACCCCCUCACUCCCUCCCUCCCUCCCUCCUCUUCUAUUUACAUCCUCCUCCUCCGCGGUCACUCCCGUCGCGCCGACCCCGGCUCUAUACUUACUGCGGACCACCGACACAAGAGAGGAGGGGAACUAUAUUACUGAAAAGCCGGGACUCCGUUAGUGUCUCUGUGUGUUUAUGUGUGAGCGGACCGUGUAAGCUACUGACUCACUGAGGUCAAGGUGGGAGGUUCGGCCGUAAAUUGCUGGAUGUGAUUGUGCAGCCAGACAGCCAAUUUGUGCCCGGUGUUGUUCCUGAUAGGAGAGCGACCUGAAUGUGCGCAGCUCCGCUGGCAGACGUGGUGUUGGGGGCAGACAAGGCCACUGAUGUAAUAGACCUGUCAAGUGUCUCCAGAGAGGAGUUACAGAGGAGGAGAAACAGGAGAUUACACAUGGAGAGAAGGAGAUAAGACGAAAAGAUGGAAAGACAAGGAAGUGUGUAGUUGAAGGGAGAUUUAGGAAAGAAAGGACAUUAGACAACGCAGGAUUGAAAGAGUGAAAUGUCAUUUAAUAAUAAAAAGAAAUAAGACCGGAAGCUGUAAUGUAUUGCACAGCACAAAAAGAAAUUACAAGCUUCUCCCUUGCAAGCUUAUUUUUAAUAUUAAAAAUAUUUAAAACAAGAUAUUAAUAUCAAACUCAGCAGCGUAGUUUUGGUGUUUUCUUUUCAUUAGAGCCAGUGUGCACAGAUUUUUCCUAUUUACAAACAUUUUGCUUUAAGAGUGGACAAUAUGGCAAGAUUAUUUUCUUACAAAGACCAUUGUUGUUUGAUUAUGCAUUUUACCCCAUACAUUUUUAAAUAUGUGGGCCAGACGCAAAGCCUGAGGCAGCAGUGGGGGCAGAUGAAUUGAAACGGUAAAUAGACUGUUGAAUGAGUUCUUUGUUUAAAGGCUAAGGUCGUAAUGUCGAGCUCAAAACGGCUUAUUAAAACACAAGUAGUUGGCCUAUAUUCCCCACAUAUGUUCAAGUGCCACAGUAACACCAAAUAUUGGGUUAAACACAGAGAACAUCACUUUUAGAGAUGUAUUUAAUUAAAAGUUAGUAGAAAAGUAUUUGUAUCAUUAAAUGGCUUUACCCUGUGUCAUUAU